rnacentral:snRNA from 21 species
AUACUUACCUUGGAGGGAAGUUGGCGAUCAAGAAUGCCACGCUUCUGAAGAGACUCCGUGCAUUGCACAGCGCGCAGGAGACUUUUCAUGGAUGUCCUUCGGGGCCUCCACUUCUGUAAUUUUUCAUUUCAUCUCUGUGUUUUCAUCACAUU